AAUAGUUGCCCCAAAAUUUUAGAUUUCCCUCUAAGAUUUCACAAUGAACAUUCAUCUCUCCCAUUACCCACCCCAAUCGCUCUAAGAUUUCACAAUGAACAUUCAUCUCUCCCAUUACCCACCCCAAUCGCUAUUCUUUCGCUGAAACUGCUAGAUCGUCUCCUCUUAUCGAAUCCCACUACUACGCCCCUAAUGAAUCGCAACUAAGUGACCGACGAACCACAAUUGCACCACCUGAUGAUCUGUCAUCGCCGCUCAUACCUUCUCACUCAACUCCUCUUCGCUUCACUUCAGCCCCGGAAGAUCGUAAUACUAACCUAAUUUCUGGUGAUCCAAAGGAAGACCGAACAGAGGAGUGGUUCAACCGCUAGUGAUUGAAGGGAAGACCUAGUUUCCUUAGAUGGAUAGAAGGGUUAAGAGCAAUUCAAUCGUAGUUUCAACCCACCUUCAAUCCUAGGUCAGUAAAAAUAAAAUGAUUGUGUUCAAUUGAUCAACAAUAUGCGACUAUGCGUUUGUGUGCAACGAAUGGACAAUAUGAGCGAUGGUUUUGAUUCUACUGACGCUGCAAAAGAUAUGUACUGUCAUUAUUGUUACUCUUUAUCUGUUUUGUGGUUUAUACAUGUAAAAGUGAAUCUGUACUAGCUGCACACAUUCCAUUCUCCAACGCAAAGUAUACAUUCUACAAGGAAAUGGAAAUCCCGUGUACGUUUGAGGAAAUAAAAAAUACAUUGUUGAUUCUAAGGGAAAAGGU